CCACCAGACCUAGCUCGGGGCUCAGGAAGUCUACAUCCGCAUCAGAGAGGGGGUGGCUACUCACUGUGCCCGAAUUCACAUAUUUCUUUUUCUUCAUUUUCUUUUUUGGGUUUACCACCUGCCGAGAAAAACAAAACAAAACAAAACCCAGUUACCAGAUCUUCCUGUGAAGUGGGCACUGAGAAAACAUCCUGUUUGUUCUGGGGUUUCCAGCACCACUGGGCAUGCACAGCCCCUCCCUGCCUCCCCGUGUACCAGCCUCUCCAGCCCUAAGCGGCUGCACCCAAACGCCAUGCAGGGGACCAGCACCCCCUAGGGGCCAGCAACCUCCCCACUCCUGGGUUGGAGAUGGAAGCCUUCUCCUCUCCCUCUCCUCACAUCCCCAGCGUCUCCAGGGUCCCCAGGGCUGGUAUGGGGUCUACCCUCCUGUGCAAAGGGGGCACUGAGUGGCUCCCAGGACUAGGAGCUAUGCGGGCUCUGGAUACAACGCUUUCAGCCUUCAGAUUUUGAGCUCCUCAACGGUGGGACCCAAUGGCAUCUGGUGGCCACCUCCAGUUGUUGUUCAGCCUCUCCAUCAUCUCUGACUCUUUGCGACCCCGUGGACCGCAGCACGCCAGGUCUCCCUGGGCUUCACUUCUCCCAGAAUUUCCUCAAACUCAUGUCCAUUGAGUCGGUGAUGCCAUCCAACCAUCUCAUCCUCUGCCGCCCCCUUCUCCUCCUGCCCUCGAUCUGUCCCAGAAUCAGGGUCUUUUCAAUGACUUCGCUCUUCGCGUCAGGUGGCCAAAGUAUUGGAGCUUCAGCUUCAGCAUCAGUCCUUCCAAUGAAUAUUCAGGGUUGACUUCCUUUAGGAUGGACUGGUUUGUUCUCCUUGCAGUCCAAGGGACUCUCAGGAGUCUUCUUCAGCACCACAGUUUGAAAGCAUUAAUUUCUCGGCACUCGGCCUUCUUUAUGGUCCAAUUCUCACAUCUGCACAUGACUACUGGAAAAACCAUAGCUUUGACUAUAUGGACCUUUGUCAGCAAAGUGAUGUCUCUGUUCUUGAGUACACUGUCUAGGUUUGUCAUAGCUUUUCUUCCAAGGAGCAAGUGUCUUUUAAUUUCAUGGCUGCAGUCACCAUCUGCAGUGAUUUUGGAGCCCAAGAAAAAUGAAAUCUGUCACUGUUACCAUUUUUCCCCAUCUGUUUGCCAUGAAGUGAUGGGACUGGAUGCCA